rnacentral:rRNA from 1 species
GAUGAACGCUGGCGGCGUGCCUAAUACGUGCAAGUCGAGCGAACGGACGAGAAGCUUGCUUCUCUGAUGUUAGCGGCGGACGGGUGAGUAACACGUGGAUAACCUACCUAUAAGACUGGGAUAACUUCGGGAAACCGUAGCUAAUACCGGAUAAUAUUUUGAACCGCAUGGUUCAAAAGUGAAAGACGGUCUUGCUGUCACUUAUAGAUGGAUCCGCGCUGCAUUAGCUAGUUGGUAAGGUAACGGCUUACCAAGGCAACGAUGCAUAGCCGACCUGAGAGGGUGAUCGGCCACACUGGAACGGAGACACGGUCCAGACUCCUACGGGAGGCAGCAGUAGGGAAUCUUCCGCAAUGGGCGAAAGCCUGACGGAGCAACGCCGCGUGAGUGAUGAAGGUCUUCGGAUCGUAAAACUCUGUUAUUAGGGAAGAACAUAUGUGUAAGUAACUGUGCACAUCUUGACGGUACCUAAUCAGAAAGCCACGGCUAACUACGUG